rnacentral:rRNA from 1 species
GACGAACGCUGGCGGCGUGCUUAACACAUGCAAGUCGAGCGGAAAGGCCCUUCGGGGUACUCGAGCGGCGAACGGGUGAGUAACACGUGAGUAAUCUGCCCUUGGCUUUGGGAUAACUACCGGAAACGGUGGCUAAUACCGGAUACGACAACCGUCUGCAUGGGCUGGUUGUGGAAAGUUUUUUCGGCCAGGGAUGUGCUCGCGGCCUAUCAGCUUGUUGGUGGGGUAAUGGCCUACCAAGGCUUCGACGGGUAGCCGGCCUGAGAGGGUGACCGGCCACACUGGGACUGAGACCCGGCCCAGACUCCUACGGGAGGCAGCAGUGGGGAAUAUUGGACAAUGGGCGGAAGCCUGAUCCAGCAACGCCGCGUGAGGGAUGACGGCCUUCGGGUUGUAAACCUCUUUCAGUACCGACGAAGCGCCGAUGAUGGUGGUGACGGUAGGUACAGAAGAAGCACCGGCCAACUACGUG